AGAAGAAGUACCGACGGAAGGAGAUCUGAAGCUUUCGACCAUUUAGACUCCGAUGACUCUUCGAGCAAAAAUCUCUCCAAGUCCCCGUGGCUUCAGCUCAGUUUUCUCAAAGUUCUAAUGAUGAACUUUGAGUGAACUUUGGGAGUAUUGAGCUUUGGUGAAUGGGUGUGAGGGAAAUCUCAGCAGAGUAACGGUGUAAAAAUUAGGUUUCUUCUUCAUCAUUCGAGGUCCCUAUUUAUAGCAUUUUGUACGAGGUUCAUUCUUUCUCCUCUUUCAUGAGCUGGCGAAUUUUGGAAGAAUCAUUCCGUUAGCUAGCAGGAUUUUUCCCAGAUUUGGUGGUCCUCCAAAUUGAUGUGGUCCCUCAAAUGAAAGGAUAAGGUUUUGUCUGUAGUGAAUCUACGUUUUGCUCCUUUUGGUACAGGGUGGUUGAUAGAAUUUAUGGGCAACUCUGUCAUGAUUUUAAAUGAAGGCGUGAAGUAGGCUGAGCCAAUAUUGGAGCGGAGUAUAUCUGCAAAUUCUGAAACUCCCUUUCAAAUGAUACAGACGGUUAGAUUCUUAACUAUCUUGUACUUUAAGCUAAGUCUUCCAAAAUGUAUUAUGACACCAAUCUAUAGCAGUUUACUUGGCUUAGCAUGACAUGAAAUUAUUGCUGAUUUGAAUUGCACUUGUAACGUGAUGCUAUGCUUGGUUUUGCGAGGUACUUCUUUUGGUUAUGUUUGUGAUGUGAUGCUAUUGCACUGCAGGACAUGGAUGGUGAUUGCGAGGUUAUGGUAACAAAGAUCGACUAAUGUGUAUUGCUAUCAGCUUGUGCGUCUGAUCUGCUUCUGUAGCAGCAAAAGAUCCAAGGGAUUGGAUUUUACCCAAUGCUUUCUGUGUAGCUGCGAGCCUCAGGUGUAGCAAUACAUUUCUUUCACUUUCCGAACCGCUUCAAAAAAAGUCUUCUGGAGGUAUAUUCUUUCCUCUUUCUCGCAUGAGCUGCCAGACAACAAGAGUAACAUCCUUUCCAUCAAUGGGAACUGACUCGAUGUCACUUCCAAUAACAUAACCAUCCGCAACUGGUACAACAUGUGUAGUUCCAU